AAGUCCCUGUGUCACAAUAGUGCGAAAUAAUGUCGCGCAAGUAGCAAAUUAAAAGAACGAAAGAAACAAGAGAAGAGAAGACAGAAUAAAAGAGAAGACACAAUAGAAAAUACCGCGCCUUUGAACUUGGCAAAACUGUCACCGAUUACAACGAAAGUAACGACAACCGUUUCGCUUAAACCGAAAUAGCACAAUUCUGCCUGGAGAAAAUUACAAAGCACUAUGUAUUUAUAAAGACCAAGCACCGCCGACCGAACGUUGCUCGCGAUCAUCCGCGUUGGAAAAAAUUUAACGGAAAAUAAAGUUUUACAUCGGCCGGCAUGGACUUCCGGGCCCGAAUAUUAUCGAAAAUGUACGGGGUCGAUUUCGUUGGAAAAUGUACGAAGGACGCAAGCGAUAUAAAAAUGUGGAGGAUUUAAAAGAAGCGAUUUCGAUGACAUGGACAGACUUGGAUCGCAAGUAGAUAAAAAGUUAUGCAAGACCAGAACCACCGAAUCAGUCAAAGUGACUGGUUUCUGACUUCUUUCUUUUGCAUUUCUCCUGAUACCAUACAGUAUAAUAAUAAACUGAAUUGGAAGUUG